rnacentral:rRNA from 1 species
GAUGAACGCUGGCGGCGUGCCUAAUACAUGCAAGUCGAGCGAACAGAUGAGGAGCUUGCUCCUCUGACGUUAGCGGCGGACGGGUGAGUAACACGUGGAUAACCUACCUAUAAGACUGGGAUAACUUCGGGAAACCGGAGCUAAUACCGGAUAAUAUAUUGAACCGCAUGGUUCAAUAGUGAAAGACGGUUUUGCUGUCACUUAUAGAUGGAUCCGCGCCGCAUUAGCUAGUUGGUAAGGUAACGGCUUACCAAGGCAACGAUGCGUAGCCGACCUGAGAGGGUGAUCGGCCACACUGGAACUGAGACACGGUCCAGACUCAUACGGGAGGAAGAAGUAGGGAAUCUUCCUCAAUGGGCGAAAGCCUGACGGAGCAACGUCGCGUGAGUGAUGAAGGUCUUCGGAUCGUAAAACUCUGUUAUUAGGGAAGAACAAAUGUGUAAGUAACUAUGCACGUCUUGACGGUACCUAAUCAGAAAGCCACGGCUAACUACGUG